rnacentral:rRNA from 1 species
GUGGGGAAUCUUAGACAAUGGGUGCAAGCCUGAUCUAGCCAUGCCGCGUGAGUGAUGAAGGCCCUAGGGUUGUAAAGCUCUUUCAGCUGGGAAGAUAAUGACGGUACCAGCAGAAGAAGCCCCGGCUAACUUCGUGCCAGCAGCCGCGGUAAUACGAAGGGGGCUAGCGUUGUUCGGAUUUACUGGGCGUAAAGCGCACGUAGGCGGAUUGGUCAGUUAGAGGUGAAAUCCUGGAGCUCAACUCCAGAACUGCCUUUAAUACUGCCAGUCUAGAGUCCAGAAGAGGUGAGUGGAACUCCUAGUGUAGAGGUGGAAUUCGUAGAUAUUAGGAAGAACACCAGUGGCGAAGGCGGCUCACUGGUCUGGUACUGACGCUGAGGUGCGAAAGCGUGGGGAGCAAACAGGAUUAGAUACCCUUGUAGUCC